rnacentral:misc_RNA from 1 species
AUACAUGCUGUGGUGCACUCCUGCUCUUCUGAAGUUUUCUGUUGAUUUUUUCCAUGGAUCAACAAUUACUAGUUUCCAUAAAAAGUUGAAUUAGGUUUUCUACCUUGAUACUGACAGUAAAUUUUCCAUUUCCUCUUCGACCUGAAAAUAGUUUUGGAAAGUUUUAUACCCUUACAGAAUUAAAUCAAAAUAGAAAUCGUGAAAGGCCAUAUGCAUAUUUUGUGUUAUAUGGAAUAUCUUUUGUUCUGGAAUACCUGUAUAAUCAUGUUUGACACAUUGCAUACUUAAUGUUUAAUCCUUGUUCAUAUGGGAUAAUUUGCUCCCCAUUGUUGGAAAUAUUUUAUAUUCACUGCUACCAUUUGUGGGAAUUUCAUUUGUACAUGAAGUAGUGGGCUUUAUCCGUGUACCAUAAAGGGAUUUGUUUCAUCCUCCAGUCACCCUAGUGAAGUAAUAGGUUAUAGGUUUCCUUCUCUUGCUCUCAACAGUGAAUUGUUCAUGAUACUGCCUAUCCUCAAUUUCUAUAUUUGCAAGAGGGUGAAUAAAAAAAAAAAAUCCAAAUCUUACCCACAUUUUCAAUUGUUGCCAUUUCUUAUAAAAUUUUCAAGGGGUCAAUGAACUUUAGAAUUUAUAACAAUGGUAAUUACCUUCUAGUUUAUCUCUAGGGUGUGUGCCCUGCUGACAUAGCGUAUUUUAAUGGUUUUUAAACCUGACCAGGAUGAUAUCUAUUUCAAAAAGUGAGGGCAAAGUGAGAGAAAUUUUCUUUUAGUUUUCCAUUUUCUUGCCCAUAAUCUUUAUAUAUA